ACUCUCGUGUUGCUGGGGAAAAAGCUCCAUAGCAACCAACGCCGCCAUCUGAUUUUAUGUUUGUUUAUUCUGACAAAAUGACGCGUCUCCUCAGAAAACCGCGUCCAGGACUCGCAAACCGGAAGUAAACAUGCCUACCACCAAGCUGAUCAAACCCAAACCGGUGGAAGCCAAAAAGAAAAGUCCGGAGGGAGGCAGACCUGGGAGGAGCGGCCCGGAAGGUCAGCUCCAAGUGGCCGCGGUGCGUAAAAGCCGCGCGUCGAGCUGCCCGAAGAGCCAGAAACCCAAACCCACAGGGGACACUAGUAACACCAGUAACACCUUACUACAGGGAUCCAGCUCCAGGACCAGGACCAGAUCCAGCUCCAGGACCAGGACCAGAUCCAGCUCCACCGCCCCCAGAGGGACCCAGAGGAGCCCCAGGACCAACCCGGACUGCCGCAGGGCCUCCAGCGCCGUGAGACAAGCCGCCGUCAACCCCAAACACCGAGAGCUGACCCCGGCCCAGAGGGAGCAGAGAGGGGAGGCCAGGAGCGGCGGUCAGAGCCACAAAGCUUUCACCGUCAUCCCACCAAACCCGAAGAGAAGAAGAGAGAUCCAGAGAAAGGCGGAGGCGGAGCUGGCAGCUCUAGAGGAGCUCCGGCUGAGCAGAGCGAUGUCUUACGUGUCCAUCAACCCCAGCAGCGUCGGCGGCUGCAUGAGUCUGGAGGAAGUACGACUGAAGCAGCAGCAGGAAAUGAUGCAGGCAAAGAGGAAACUGAAACCAGUCGGACAAAUAGAGGUGUGAAAAAUCACACAGUUACUGAAAUAGAUUUAAUCUGAGGUCAGUGAAUGUGUCUCAGUGAUUAUAGAAUAAAGACUCCUGGAUCUGGAAGGUCCAUCCUCUGGUGGAUCAGUUCUCCUGGAUAGAACUACACCAUGAAGACUAAAGAACACUGCAAGAAACUCUGAGAAAAGCAUCAGUCAGGACGAUACAAGAACAUUUCCAAGUUCCCGAAGAUCUCCUGGAGUCCAGUUAAAUCCAUCAUUAAGAAAUGGAAGAAAGAUGGAACAUGAAUAAAUCUGACUAGAGCAGGACGUCCUCAAGACCUGAGAGACUAGAGAGGGAGGCCACCAAGACUCCUAUGACUCCUCUGAAGGGGAGAGAGAGACUAGUGAGGUGAAGCAGCAGGUGAUGGAGGAAACAUCCAUCCUGACCAGCUGAUCUCAAACACCCAAAACCAGAUUUAAACAUCAGCUUUAGUCAGACGUGUCCAGAGAAAUAUCUUCCACGUCCAUUUAUAUUCUGUGUUUUUUUAUGGUCGUUUAGCUCGUUGUGUUUUGUUUGUAAAUUUGUGGUAACAGACAGAAAUCAGAAACCCUUUGCUGUGUCAGGCCUUAUCUAAAGAGGUAACCACAUUUCACACGGAGCUUUAAAUAAUAACAAACUUCUUUUUAAAUAUAUAAUUCAACUUUCAUUGAAACACUUCUGGCUUGGAUUUGAGGAGUUUUUCUCUGAGAUUUCUGCCUCUACUUCAGCAAAAAUGGAGCUAAAUGGAGUUCUAGACGUGCAAAUCAAAAUACAGCAAGCAGGAGAAUGAAUAUUAACAACAAUAAUGGUGUAAAACUUCUGCUAAAUGCUAAAUGUUAGAAUGGAAACUUGGUGCAGCUUCUGAAAACAGCCAAAGUUUCUGGUCUAAAAUGUUUCAGUGCUAAAAUUCAAGAUGUAAUUCUCAUCUUUAAUCAAGUGUUUUGGGAAAAUGAAGCCAUAAUUAACUUGUAAAUGUGAUUUAUUUUAAUUGUAGUGAGUUCGUAAAGGUUCAGUCAUCUUUCCAAGUACUUUCCAAGUACAUUCCAGUAUUAAUACUUUACACUGAAUAUUUAUUUAGAGUCUCAUGUUUUACUGCGUCCUCUUGUCUUCUGUGUCCCAUCUUGUUUUGGGAAGAAAAAAUAAACAGCAGUCGGACUUAAAAAUCAGUAAAUGAAAGAAAUACAACAAAUAAAUUAAAAUAUAUGUAUUUUUAAUAUAAAUUUAAAUAUCAUUUGUAUUUCUGCAUCUUUGGCCUUUAAAAUGCUGCAAAACUUUAAUCACGGGUUUGAAUGUUGAUGUAAUAAUUACUGAUGUGGACAUUUUGGACCUGUUUUUUAGGGUUAAUGUGUAAAUUAAUACUUUUAUUGUGACUUUACUACAUAUACAUACAUAACAGUGAACUUUCCCCACUGUGGGAUCAAUAAAGUUUAUCCUUAUCCUUA